CUUGUGUGACACAGGUGUUUGGGAACAACAACGCUCAGUGCCAGGCCAGUUGCCUGUAGCGUGCAUGCGCCCUUCACUCUGAUAGCUCCAAGGCUGGAGGCUGUUGCUGCUCUUGCUGAUGCAACAUCCAGAGGGCUGGGGUGAAGAAGAGUGCAUACCUGUGUGUCAGAGUUGAGGCAAUUGCUGCCCGUUGCAAUGCAGGAUUUUGGGGUGGGCAUCAGUCCUGUGAAACUGAGCUGAAACUGCAACUCUGUCUCAGCAGCACAGAGCGUACAGAACAGGCACCACAUUGCCAUGGCCACCGGGAAGGGAAGGGAAGGGAAGGGAAGGGAAGGGAAGGGAGUCAGCACAUAACAUACCUGGUUGCCUGAACCAUCUUUUUUCACAAAACAGGGCACCCAUGAAGGGCAUGACACUGUAAAUACACUAGGACAGGACAAACUCAUACCAGAAUCCCAGAAGGAGAAGAGCAUUUGCACUUGCACUGUUCACCUUGUUGUUGCCUGGGAGAUUACUGUAGUGUCUUGACUCAGAUCUUAUGUUGCUUCAUAACAAUUUUUUUCAAAGAGAUAUAGCUUUUUCCUGGUUGCCUUUUCGCCCUCUUUUUUUGUAAUCCCUGCUUGGCAGCUGAAGUGGUCUAACAUUUUAUGUAACUGGUAGCAGAAAUUAUUGCCAAGGAGUGAAUUGUUUUUAGAGAACAUCCCUCCCCUUGGGUUAAAUAUAGGUUGCAGCAUUCCAGUAUAAUGAAAAGAUUGGAAAACAUUUACACACUGGAGUACUUUCUGCUUUGUAGUAACAGAGUAAGACAUUCACAGUUGUGAAUAUCAUACCUGAAAAGACAAGUUUAGUCAGCCUCUAUCUUUACUGUAUUUCAUCCAUACCCUCAAAUGUUUCCCAUUUAAACCAAAUUCUCUUGCCCUUGUGUUUUAUUACCUUGCAGCGUGCUGUUGGCUACAGCAUACUGGUUUAUUAUCUUACCAUGUGCAUUGUGGAACUUGCAUUAGUUUUGUACUGCAAAAUUGCAUAGGAUGCUGGACCAAGAAUGUCCAAUCCUUUUGAUUACAAAAUAUGAAAGCAAAUCUGGAGAGGUCUUACUGCUACAAAAAUUAGAUCUGUAUUGUGUUGUUGUCGUCAAAGAUAUUUGAUUUCAAACACAUUUACAGUUGCCAUAAACUUUGCUUUGUAAGCUGAAAUCAUGUGUACCACUAUUAUUAAAAUCUUCAAAUUCAGAAAAUGGUUAAAAUUCAGACUGGAAAAUAAAGCCUGAG
rnacentral:lncRNA from 1 species